GUAGUCACGAGUUUGAUCCUGGCUCACGAUUGAACGCUGGCGGCAUGCCUUACACAUGCAAGUCGAACGGCAGCACGGAGCAAUCCUGGUGGCGAGUGGCGAACGGGUGAGUAAUAUAUCGGAACGUGCCCAGGUCGUGGGGGAUAACGUAGCGAAAGCUACGCUAAUACCGCAUACGAUCUAUGGAUGAAAGCGGGGGAUCGCGAGACCUCGCGCGAUUGGAGCGGCCGAUAUCAGAUUAGGUAGUUGGUGAGGUAAAGGCUCACCAAGCCGACGAUCUGUAGCUGGUCUGAGAGGACGACCAGCCACACUGGGACUGAGACACGGCCCAGACUCCUACGGGAGGCAGCAGUGGGGAAUUUUGGACAAUGGGCGAAAGCCUGAUCCAGCAAUGCCGCGUGAGUGAUGAAGGCCUUCGGGUUGUAAAGCUCUUUUACUCGGGACGAUAAUGACGGUACCGAGAAAAUAAGCCCCGGCUAACUCCGUG
rnacentral:rRNA from 1 species